rnacentral:lncRNA from 1 species
AACCCUCAACCGUCUCUCAUUCUCUCUCCAAUCUCUCCAUCUCUCCCCCUCUCCCUUGUGCAGCCACCUUGCCGCCUCUCUCAUCCCUCUUCGCCAUCAGUAGCAGCGGCGAACGGCAACGCCCGUCACAUCCUCGCCAACACAGUGCAAUAUUGCUUCGGUCGCCGGCAUCUGCUCGUCGACGCAAACGGUCGCUGCCGCUGCUGGUCCAAGGGCGCAUCCUGACGCCGCAGCGCCUCCGCGCUUGUAGCCCAUCUCGCCAAUCAAGGUGAGGAUCUCUGUUAUCACGAUUUUCCUGUUCGGCGACGAAGUUCAACAAAGGUAGGAUUUUCGAUUUAUUUCACAAUUUUAAGAAAUCUUUUGAACAGAUCUAGUGCGUCAUUUUAAUUUUCUCAUUAUUCCGAUAAUUUUCCAUCAUCUUCUCCAAACAAUUUCGAUUCUGGGCAAAUCAACCUCGACCACUUUAAAUUGAUUUUACUUUUAAAACUUUGUUAAAUGAGAACAACACAACAUAUGUUUGUUGAAAGUUCAAAACCAAAAUUUUCAGAUUUCCAGAUUUUUCAGUGUAAAAGUUGCUGCUUCGU